rnacentral:rRNA from 1 species
GACGAACGCUGGCGGCGUGCUUAACACAUGCAAGUCGAACGAAGAGCGAUGGAAGCUUGCUUCUCUCAAUCUUAGUGGCGAACGGGUGAGUAACGCGUAAUCAACCUGCCCUUCAGAGGGGGACAACAGUUGGAAACGACUGCUAAUACCGCAUACGAUCUAAUCUCGGCAUCGAGGAUAGAUGAAAGGUGGCCUCUACAUGUAAGCUAUCACUGAAGGAGGGGAUUGCGUCUGAUUAGCUAGUUGGAGGGGUAACGGCCCACCAAGGCGAUGAUCAGUAGCCGGUCUGAGAGGAUGAACGGCCACAUUGGGACUGAGACACGGCCCAGACUCCUACGGGAGGCAGCAGUGGGGAAUCUUCCGCAAUGGACGAAAGUCUGACGGAGCAACGCCGCGUGAGCGAUGACGGCCUUCGGGUUGUAAAGCUCUGUUAAUCGGGACGAAAGGCCUUCUUGCGAAUAGUGAGAAGGAUUGACGGUACCGGAAUAGAAAGCCACGGCUAACUACGUG